GGCCUCGUAGCUCAGUUGGCUAGAGCGUUGGCUGCGCUAAAGCCUUCCCCUUGUUGGCGUGGGUUCGAAUCCCACCGAGGCCA
rfam:Schistocephalus solidus strain NST_G2 genome assembly, scaffold: SSLN_scaffold0002465